GGUGUUCAUAUCAGUACUGAGUAAGGCAAAUUUUAUCUGUAGAAUGGAUGGGUUUCGGGCCGAAGCUGCCCGUGAGCAUAAAUCAAAAAUACUGAAUUCUUAUUCGAAAAUGAAAGAUGCUGGAUUGCUCUUGGAUUUUAAUAUUGGAAUUAAUAAUAGAUUAUUCCCAGUUCAUCGCAGUUUAUUGGCUGCAGGAUCGGAUUAUUUUCAAGCCAUGUUUCUUCAUGAUAAAAAAGUUGUUGAGCAAGGUGUCGUGGAAAUCAAAAAGGUUGAACGCUGAACCUAUGAGCCGAUGCAUAGAGUUCUUAUACACAGGAGAUACAGACAUAAACAAUGAAAAUUGUCAGGAUAUUCUCCAUGUAUCAAGCAUUCUGCAAAUUGACGCUUUGAGAAAACUUUGUUUCCGUUUUCUGCAAACCAAUUUGUCUCCGGAAAACUGUUUAGUUGUUGCUCAUUUGGCAGAUAUUUACAAUGACCCUCAUGCAAGAACUAGAGCAAAGGAACUAGUAGUCGAUGAAUUUGAGAUGAUUGUGAAGGCGGAUUUGUUCCCCUCCAUCAGUUCAACAGAUCUUAUAUACUACUUGGAUAAAAGUAGAGUAGAUUCACAAGUAUCGUGGUUGGCUAUUACAACUUGGAUCCGAACUAACCGAGACCAAAAGGAUCUCAUCCGAAUCAUGGAUGAUGCACUAAAAGUCAUGAAAUUACCAUUCGCGUUUCUUCUGACGACUGGUCUGGAUAGCGACAUUUUUGACAACCGUACCUUGGUAAAUUCAGUCUCAAAACAUGUUUUUAUGAAAACAGAAAACUUGAAAGAAAAUAUUACUGCAAGCAAUUGUAUCAAAUUAAAAAAGUUGGCUCGUGAUUUUCUUGACGUCGACGGAAAGCCACUAAAGCUUAUCAAUCAAUUCAUAGUCGACCAUAUUGAGGAAGUUUCUAAGUGUGCUGGUUACGAAGCUUUCAGCGACGACAGCGUUGAAGAAUUGGAAGCAAAGAUGAUCAACUGCGUUUCUGAUAAAGUAAAGUACGAACUACUAUCGACGUGGGCUCAUUUCAAACUAGAUCGACGUACACAUUUUUCUCGUAUGUUUAAAUUGAUCAAAGCUCAAGGAGCUCUCAAUCGGAUUUAUUCAACUGGAAAUUGAAAAAAGAAAAGUUAGUGGAACAAUCUCCGAGUUGCAUUGCAUUGCUGGACUCAUGCUUUUACCCCAGCGAUGAAAAUUUCGAUAGUGAGAGUGAUACCAUUUAUUUUACAAAUGGUUUAGAGAAAUUAAUCGAUGAUGAUGAGUUCAAGUUCGUAUCUGAAGAAGAUUUUGAAAUAUAUUUGAAAAUUGCGUGACCAUGCUUUGGAAAGGAAGUGGAAAGCAGUGAAACGUUGGAUGGAAAACAAGAAUGAUGCAAGCACAUUGUUCAAAGAUUUACUAACUAUAUUGAAAGCUCCAUUUGAGUUUCUUUUCAAUAUAGUUGUAAAUGAUCCGUUUUUCGAGAACGAAUAUGAGCUAAAAGUAAUUGCUCUUAGUCACAUUUUCUCUUUAAUUUCAGAAGUUGGAGAAUUAUGCGACAAAAUUGAUUUGAACAAUUGCUUCAUCCUGAAAACUCUCAACGCCCAGUAUAACAAUAUCAAUUACAAUCUUUGGAAUUCAGAGAUUGAGAAGUUCCUGACGAUCCACGCACCACUUGUUCUCAGAAGAAAAGAGCUAUUGGAUUUCAGUAAAGUUGAAAUCGAAAAUUUGAUACAAAUGACUGAGUGCAGUGCAGACUUCAAGGCUGAAGCAUUGCUAAAAUGGGUGAAGGAAAACUCAGAAAGAUUUGAUUUGCUACCAGGUCUUUUAAAACUCAUCAACCUACAACUUCUUUCAUCUUCUACCGUUAAUACGUUGCUCACUGAUCCUAUCCUGAAAAAAUUUCAAGACUUGCUUGGAAGUAUGGAAGAGUUGGGAUCCGGAAUAUUGACCGUGGACAAGAAUGUCUACGAAGAGAUCACAGUAUGUGAUAUAUUAGCUAUGGAUUGUCGGGCAUGGGAUAUAUCUGUGAUCUCUCGAGUGCAACAACAUUUGUAUUACCGCAAAUGAAAAAGAAUUUCCGUAUGCAAAUAAUCAAUGUGGAUGAAAACGUAUACGGAAUAAAUGAAAGGGAAAUUUUUAAAACUAAAUAAGCAAGGAAAUUGGGACUAUUUAUCGCACAUUCCAGAGAGCGUUAGAAGUGGACACGUCAACUUUAAUAAUUUUUUUACAGUACCACCCAGCAGAGUAGUUGCCUUCCAGGAUUGUUUGGCUUUUAUUUCAAGAUCUGAACUAUUGAUGUAUAAUCCUGUCACGAAUUCGUGGUCAGAUACAUUACCAGGAUGCAAUUUGAAUUUAGGAUACUGCACGGCUUCUUCAGGCAAUUACAUUUAUGCAAUGGGUGGUAAAACGAGAAAAGGAAAACGAUUUGAUGGGAUCGAAAAGAAAUGGUCAGAUAUUGCAAAAAUGCCCAAAAAUCAGGAAUUUUGCGUCUUGUGGCUGUGUUUACAUGAUAUGGUUUUUCUGGCUGGGGGUGUUUUUAAUGACUGGUUUGGAUUGUCGAACACCUCGUUGGAUAUAGUUCAGUGUUAUAAUCAAAAAUCUGAUUGCUGGUCAAAAAUCUCAAAUAUGUGUCAUCCAUGCAUGAGCCCAAGCCUUUGUGUGGUGAACAAUCGAUUAUAUGUGGCUGGAGAAAGAAAGGAUGAAUGUCUUUCAAUUGAGUUAUAUGAUGAAAAAAAUAAUCAAUGGGAAGUGGUUCAAGAACUUGAAACUACGAAACAGUAUUUUUCCGCAUGUGCCAUUCCACGAGGAUUUCUAUCCUUCGACUCUCGUCAAUGUUUCACUGUUGGAGAAAGCCUUGAUUUACUAGAUCACAUUGAUACUGAAUUUGAUAGAAAAGUAAAAAAAAAAUACUCUGUCAAGCAGAUUAUUCCGCCAUCUGGUGGAGAUAUGAAUCUACUAGGAUGCCGACUUAUUUUCCCUCCUUCAGCAUUGGAUGAAGAAACUGAAGUGACCUUGGUUGUAGACAGUGGUCCUGAAAAUUCACCUGGUUUUAUCGAAGACGAAACAUCGGACAUAUUAUUGAGUCUCGACUUUCCUAUAACACCUGUGAUGAUUUGCAAACCUUCCAUGAAAUUCAACAAACCUGUAACUGUAGAAAUGGACACAUGUUUCAGCGCUCGAGAAAACAAAACCAUUCCAGUUGAUAUUCAAAUAAGAAAAGGAGACUCAGGUUGGAAAAAAGUCUCUGAAGCACUUUUAGGUAAUACCAACAAGAUUAGAUUUACUGUUUCACAUUUCUGUGGCAUGGCAGUGACUGUUUCCUCACAGUUAGUCGAAGAUGGAAAGUUCCAUCUUAUCAAUGACGUGUACAUUCAGGAACGCACUGCUCAAAUCUCUUCAGUAUUUUGCAAAGAUGAAAUAACGCAACGCACCAUGGAAGAAAGCCUACAGAGAGCAAACUUUGUCAAAUUCAUGGGACUCUCACAUGAAAUUCUCGAAGGUCUGGGUUCUUGGGUCAGUCUACGAUUUGAAUGCACGGAACCAAAACAAACAGUAAUCUCACAGGGAUAUCCAUCUUCGCAAUUCCAUAUCAAUAAAGAAAUUUUUGAAAAACGCAAACAUGUGGUUUUUUUUAAACCUCUUCCUCGUCCUCGGGAACAUACUGGAGUCAUCGAUGCCGAUUACUAUGUAAGAAUAAACGAAGACCCCGAAACAAAUCUAAUAGCGGUCGUAGAAUGGCCAAUUCAAAAUAGAGGUACUGGACCCAUCAACAUAUCAAAUGUCGUUCACACUGGACCAAGAGCAAUUACGAUGGCAACUGACAAUGCGAGAGUGGAGACCCACAGCACAGGAGAGACCAAUGUUGUUACAUAAAAGUGAUUGGGCUUGUGGGACAUAGGGAAUUGACUCUAAAAUAAAUAACUCGAUUUGAGGAACAAAAAUCAUCAUGCAUGGGAUUUUCAUCUGAUUUUUUUAUUCGGCAACUUUGAUAUCUGUCGAGCGCUUUGAUUGCAUUUCACCGGAUAUUCCAUUGAAACCAAAAAUAUACAUCAGGACCGAAAUGCUAGUUCUACAAUGCAUACUGAUUGUAUAUUUACUAUUAUAUAAUUAAAUGCGUAUAGUUGUCUUGAAUAUAUACUUUGCUUUUUUACCAUUUUUGCGCAUUUCUUUAAUAUAUUUCUCAUUAUCAUAUCGACACGAACGAGAGCUAAGAUAAAUAUGUACAAUUAGGAACAUUCAGAAAUUCAUAUUUUGAGCGCAUUUACCAAAAGUAAAUUGACUUCCCUUGGGGGGCAAUUUUACAUGGACAAUUUCACACUCCCUACUAAAUUCUCCCUCAAUACUGGUUUCGACCAAAGAUGGCAAAGGAUGGGAAGUAAAAUCCUCUGUUGUAUAACAUAGUCAUUGUCGAAACAAGCGACACAUAUUUACAUGCGAAGAAAAAUUAUAAAUAACUUUACCUUUGAAAAUUUGCCAAAAAUUGGAAGAGAGAAAUAAAGUUAGGAAACCCUGUUGUAUUCUCAAUAAUUUUUCUGUAAUUAAUAUUCGAAUCUUAGGGCAGAUUAGUUCAUUUAGUCAUGAAAAAAGAAAUUAUAUUUCCAUCCUUCAUUGAGUUGCCAACCCGGCGACUCUGAAUUUGUCUCAUAUUGCUUUCCCUUUCUAGACUGGCUACUUAUAAUGCUUGAAUGAUAAGCAAGCAUAUACUAUUAGAUUAUGAACAUACCUGUAUUUGAAAUUUCAAUGGUUUUCACAUGGUCUCACUUGGAAAAUUAUUUCUCCAAACGAGGCAAGGGACAAGCCCUCACAUUGUCAUGUUUAAAGAGGAAAGUCACAAAGUUCAACGCUUUUUAUCUCUUGGCUAUACCAAAAUGUAUUUGUGUUUAUCGGAAAAAAAUAUUUGUUCGACUUCGUUACAUAAUAUUCUUACUGCUGAGUGCAGACGUUUCGUUAUAUUUUAUAUAUGUAGCAUUCUCUUUCUCAUUGGCCACUAGCCCUAAGUUUCACUAGCUCCAUGCUAUGGUUUUUAUCUACGAUUCAUAUUCAAGCUGGAUUUUCAGAAUACCGCCUUAAUCUUUGUGCAUAUUUCAAUCUAGUUUAAGUUUUUCCAAAGAAAUUUUAUUCAUUAGAAUGAAGUUUUAUUCCUUAUGUAUAUCUUAAUUAUUGAAUAUAAAUUUGCCCGAGCGAGGUCCUUGUCUUUCAAAUAAAAAUUAAAGUGGCCCAUCAAUAAGAAGGCUGCAAUUUGCAAGCGACAAUGUGGAUCUUCGAAACUGACUCGCCUUUCUAUUUGUCAUUCUGAAAUUUUUAACAGUCUCCGCAAAAGAUUGACAAAACAUAUAUCGUUACUUCAUAUCAGUUGCGCAUUCACUCGUUAAGUAAACUGCGACUGAGUUUGUAGAGGUGCCCAACUCUUGAUUUUUAAAAUCUCCUAACAAUAAGUGCAGUUUUGAAAAGGUGAAAAAUUGGAAUAUUUUUAAAUCGAGAAUUUAUUUUAAAAAUACAUGUUUCAUUCUUAUUUACAUCUUGUAGUUAAAAAUUUAUAUAUGCAAUAUAUACCGUGUAUACUAGGUAUUUGAGUUGAAUAAAGGUAUUUUUUAAUUUGUGUUAAUUUACACUUAUUCAGACCAUAAGAAGCAUUGUUGUGCUUGAUUGUCGUUGUACAUGCAUGCUUUUGACAUAUGCACCUUUAAUCACUAGACCACUGAUUAUGAAAUGUGAAUUUACUAUCCAUUUAUUAGACCAGGAGUGGGAAAAUGACGGCCCGUGGGCCGGCCGAAGCAGUUCAUCCGACCCACUUAUAUGUGCUGAAAUAAUCUGCCGCUGCACGACUAUGUUUUUAAUGAAUUUAAAUCACCGCUAAAUAUAUUGAUGAAAAUAACGUCAUAAUGACCCGAUUGUUAUAUUGUGCUUCUAAUUAAUAUAUAAACGUUAGACUAUCUGCUGUAAGUAAACUGUUUUUAUUCAUAAUUUUUCAUACUCAGUUUUUGAGCAUGUGGCCCAAUAACCAAGUCUAUUAUAUGUAACUGGCCCACUCAGAAAAGUGAUUGCCCACACGUGUAUUAGACCAAUAUAUUUAAAAUUUUUAGUAGCAAAAAGUGAAGUGUCAUUAUUUUUAUUUUGGGAUUCUUAAAUAAGUUGAACAACUUUGUGUCGAUUUACAACCAAGUAAUCACUAAAAACAGAGUGAGAGAGAGAAGUUUAUUGAUUUGUCAACCAAAACAAAUAUAAGCAUAAAUACAAAUAAAUAAACACUGUUUAUGGUAAAGACUGGAGGGAGCGGUACGACCCUAUGGUCAUCUCAUUCAGCUCCCCCCCCCCCAAAUUUACUGUUAUGCAUAAGAUCCACAGGUAUUGGAUGACUAUGUGUGUAACGGCUAAUUAUAGAGUAUUAUACACUUAAAAAAAUGCACAAUUACAAGGGGCUAAUGAUUAAAGUUAGUUAUCAGGUUUGUUGAUCCAUGCAUAUUAAGAAAAAAUACUAAGAGUCUAGAAAAUUCUAAAAUGCUGAAAUUAUUUUUGAGCUUUUCUUGUGUUUUUGAGCUUCGCGUCUAUCAAGGCUUUGUGCUUUGGACAGGAUACCAUUAACGUGGCUUAAGUUUCUUGGGGCGUUGUAAUUCUGUUUACAUUUAUUCUAGAAAUUCUUUUGACCUAUCUUUGUAUACAAUUUCGCUUAGCAAAGCUUUAUAGAUUAGAUUAUCACUCAUCUGAAUCAUUUCUAAAUUUGAUAUUGCAGUUUCAUUUUUUAAUAUUUCCUUUUCUUCUUCCGCGUGUAAAAUUGCAAAACAGACUGUUUUAGGGUCUACUACAAUUUGGUCUAAAUUAUUUCGAUUCAGAAUUGUCUCUAAUUUAUUAGAUUUUGGUUGAGUUUUGGGCCAUGGAAAUUAAGCACGAUUUUUCUUCUUCGAAACCGGAACUGGCCAUAUUUGAAUUCAUUUUACUGAAAUCUUUUUAAAUCAAAGCUGUAACUCUCGCACUGUUUUAUUAAGAAAUUUAUGUGCUGUUGCUUUUGCUCUCAAUUUGCUAAUAGUUGUUUUCUUUAUAGAAAUCAAUAAAAAAAAUGUGUAAAAUGAUUACAAAUUG